UCGUACUAGCCAAUCCAGGACGCGGGGA
rnacentral:sRNA from 1 species